rnacentral:rRNA from 1 species
UACGUAGGGUGCGAGCGUUGUCCGGAAUUAUUGGGCGUAAAGGGCUCGUAGGCGGUUUGUCGCGUCGGGAGUGAAAACCAGGUGCUUAACACCUGGCUUGCUUUCGAUACGGGCCGACUAGAGGUAUUCAGGGGAGAACGGAAUUCCUGGUGUAGCGGUGAAAUGCGCAGAUAUCAGGAGGAACACCGGUGGCGAAGGCGGUUCUCUGGUCCACUAUUGACGCUGAGGAGCGAAAGCGUGGGGAGCGAACAGG